UACGGGGGGGGCAAGCGUUGUUCGGAAUUACUGGGCGUAAAGGGUUCGUAGGUGGCUUGCUAAGUCAGACGUGAAAUCCCUCAGCUUAACUGGGGAACUGCGUCUGAGACUGGCAAGCUUGAGUGCAGGAGAGGAACGCGGAAUUCCAGGUGUAGCGGUGAAAUGCGUAGAUAUCUGGAGGAACACCCGUGGCGAAGGCGGUUCUCUGGGACGGUACUGACGCUGAGACGCGAAAGCGUGGGGAGCGAACAGG
rnacentral:rRNA from 1 species